rnacentral:lncRNA from 1 species
UUGGCACAUCAGAUAGUCAGGCCGAGAGGACUGUUAAUCCUCAUGUUUGUGCUUCACUUAGCGUGGUGACGACCUAGUCCUGCUUGGAGCUGGCGGAUGCCUCCCUUGGACAAGUGUCCUGCUGAACACGUGGCAGCACGCACCAUUUGCUCCGGCAGCAUCUCCCUAACUGCCUUCUCUCCAGGAUUGCCGCCUCGCCCAGGGAUGGUGCUGGAAGUGGUCCCCAGCCUCGCCUGU